rnacentral:rRNA from 1 species
AUUGAACGCUGGCGGCAGGCCUAACACAUGCAAGUCGAGCGGAUGAAGGGAGCUUGCUCCUGGAUUCAGCGGCGGACGGGUGAGUAAUGCCUAGGAAUCUGCCUGGUAGUGGGGGAUAACGUCCGGAAACGGGCGCUAAUACCGCAUACGUCCUGAGGGAGAAAGUGGGGGAUCUUCGGACCUCACGCUAUCAGAUGAGCCUAGGUCGGAUUAGCUAGUUGGUGGGGUAAAGGCCUACCAAGGCGACGAUCCGUAACUGGUCUGAGAGGAUGAUCAGGCACACUGGAACUGAGGCACGGUCCAGACUCCUACGGGAGGCCGCAGUGGGGAAUAUUGGACAAUGGGCGAAAGCCUGAUCCAGCCAUGCCGCGUGUGUGAAGAAGGUCUUCGGAUUGUAAAGCACUUUAAGUUGGGAGGAAGGGCAGUAAGUUAAUACCUUGCUGUUUUGACGUUACCAACAGAAUAAGCACCGGCUAACUUCGUG